GGCCAGACUGAAGGCCUUUGAUAAUCCAAAUUGAUAGUAUGCUCUCCUCGCUGCCCGCCCAACUGAGCUUCCACCUGUUUGGCUGGCGAGAAAAACUUCAGGGAAACGGGGAGAAAUGAAAAUUCUGAAUUUCAGGCCUGUAAUUGCUUUCUUUUCAAAAUUUCGAGCUCAACAUGAUAAUGCAAUAUUCGGAUUGGAUCAACUGAGUGAAUCGUUUGAUUAGAAAGCACGUGUCAACGGACAGCACGAUAGUUUUUAUUUUUGAUAAAUUUUCUUUCUGGCAAAUUCCUGGCAAUCAAACACGCCUCAGGUGAGUACUGAAGAGAUGCGCUAAAAAAUUGUUGAUUUACAGGUUCAUGACCUUGUUGAUCUUUUAUCAUUGAUGAUGACUGUGCAACACAGAAAGAGUUAGCUCAUUAUUUUGGAGGUAAUAAUUUUUACCGAAGUAGCUUGUAUUUGUAUAAGUUCCUAAAACAGUGUUUAUUUUCUGUGAAAUAACUGCAGCAACAAGGAAACUUACGAUUUCGUCUGGAGCUAGGAUUUGUGGUCCGUUUAGGUUUUGGCAUUCAUCAUCUGUAGGAGGACAGCACAAGGAAAUCCAGCAUGGAACUGUUGCCAGCUGAGUCCAUUCUUCUGAGUUUUCCUCCAUUCUCAAGGGCAAAAGCCAGUGCCAAGGACAGAUCUCCAUGUUCUGAGCUUCUACCUCUCCCAAAAGGAAUAAUCUUGUUUGAAGCUUCUCCAACGGACAGUGUUCUGCUGCCUCCCGUAGACUUAUGGCAUGCACUUCCGUUUUUUAAGCCACUCUGCAGAAAUGAAGCAAUUUAAGUAAUUGAGGUGCAGGAGAUCUGCUUUAACCAGCUUCAUCAACAAUAACUUACAGGUCCAUGCGUUUUCAUUUCUCUGGAUCCUCUAUAUGCUUGCUUCGAAUAAGAAUAUGCAUCUGUGCAGGCACAUCAUAUUUAGAAAAUAAAGAUACUUCUAAAAGAACAAUACUUCAGUCUUCAGUGCCAGUAUUCAAGGUUUUUGUCUGUAAAAGCCCCUUUCUAGUUUGCAGUAGUCCUUAAGUUAUUUAAAAGGAAUGCUUGCAUUUAAACAGCCACAUAUUGUAUUUCUCAUUUGACCUAAAUCCUCACUUCCCUCUUAGUAAAGUAUUCUCCUCUUCGUUUAUUUACUUAUUCUUCUAAUAUGUGAUUUACAAAGUGGUAUUAAAAGCGAACUUGGAAAUAUUAACUAAUUUGGUCUAAUUAUGGAAAAUUGAUUUUUUUUUUUUUUUUUUUGUUAUGUGUGCUCUUCAAUAUGGAGAAUAAGAUAAUAGUACUCUAAUUUGUUUGAUUUUCCUCUAAUUCUCAUCAACCUUUAUCCCUUUUCUAUCUUCUGAAGAACAUAUUGCUAUUAGAUGAAUCACAUGAAACUUUUGUGUUCUUAAUUUUGUUUUUUUGUUGGGAAUUGUCCUUGUUUUUCAACAUGAUCAUGGUUGUGACCAACUGAAAUACAUAAGUAUUUAUGGCCAUAAUAUAUCUUGGUGCCGCUUUAUCAGAGCGAAUAAAUUUCUCUGAUCCUAUAGUGCUUACAGAUGAUCCCCUCUCAACUUGUCCUAAGACGCAGUUGAUGCUUGCUGAUUUUUGGAAUUGCUUGAAGUUGUUGAAUAAGAAUCAUCAUUUUCAGAAAAAGGAAAGUUAACCAUAGAAGCCUAGACACCUACAAACUUAUUUGUCCUGGGAAACACUGAACAUAGGCAUCUAUCCAAGAGGAGUUAAUGUGUUUCAGUUUUUUGGAGCAUUUUCCAUGAUGACUUUCAUUGACACAAAAGUGUGACUCAAUAGUCUUAAAUCAUAAUUGCCUUUAUUGUUCAGAAAUUUCUCAAGCCCAUGAAUUUGCUUCUUGCUUGAAAUUCAUUGGAAUGCUUACCUGCAGCUAGUGGCUUUGAACUUUUUGAGCUCUGAGAUGCAGAUAUUCGAUCCUUCCGAGCCCGGAGAUCAUCUAACAGCUUCUGUGCAAAAUCUGAUCUUUUUGCCAUGUUUCCUCUGUGUUGGAACCAAGUUCCAGAGCAUUUCAACCAAAAAAAUGAUAGGAGGUCAGACUCGCGAAAGCUGUCCCGACCCAAAAACUCAGGAAGCUUCAUUGAUGGGCCGAUCUGAUUUCUUUGGCCUUGACAUAGUCUCAAAAAGCGGAUCGGGUCACUCGCAAGUCUAAGUGUAACAGCCCGGAAACCGAACUGCUACCGGCGCUAGGAUCCAGAUCGGCUUAAGGCCGCCGGGACCCGUAGCAAGCCUGCUGUGAACUCUGUGUACCUGUGAAAUCCCAGACAUGAUCAAACAUUUUCUGUAAACAUUAAAACUUUUCUCUGUUCCAAGGCUUAACCUGUGCAUACACUAUCUCUGUACUAUAAAACCCCUGUUAGAGCUCUCAUCUUUGCUCUAGGCGGGUCCAAUCAUAUACUGUGGUUUUUCAUACAUAGACAAUACAAUUAUUUUCAUAACAGACCAUGUAUAGACAAAAGGGAUUACAAAUCAUAUGGUCAAGCAUCAUCUAUACAAUAAAAACUAUCCUUUAGAAUUAUAUGUCCACACUAUCUAUUACAUAACUCUGCUCUUUCUCUGUACCUUGCUGACACCUCUGGACUCUGAACCUGCAAGACUGGGGUGAAGGGAGAGGGUGAGCUAUACUAGCCCA